UGAAAGAGCACAAGCAAGGUGUCAAGGGCCUU
rnacentral:piRNA from 1 species